GAUACCACUUUGCGGAAAGUGGAAACACUGAUUGGAUGCCAUUCGCAGUUAGUUCAGUAGCGUGGAUGGAGAAUAACGCGUGGCUGGGGGAACAACUGAAAAAUGGAUAAGAUAAUACAACAAAAGGAUGAUCAAAUUAUGAAGCUGCAGGCCCAAUUAUUGGAACAACACAAAAUAUUAUCUAGGGAUACCACUUUGCGGAAAGGGGAAACACUGAUUGGAUGCCAUUCGCAGUUAGUUCAGUAGCGUGGAUGGAGAAUAACGCGUGGCUGGGGGAACAACUGAAAAAUGGAUAAGAUAAUACAACAAAAGGAUGAUCAAAUUAUGAAGCUGCAGGCCCAAUUAUUGGAACAACACAAAAUAUUAGAUAACAGCAAAGCUAAGGAUGCUCAAAUUUUGAGUCUACAAGCUCAGCUAGGGGAAAAGAACAAAUUGGAACGGAACAGUUUCCAAACAGUGAAGGAGGUUUUUCCAAACUCAUCCCUAAAUGAACAUGAGGAUGAAUUGGCAUUAGGC